AUUAUUAAAGAAAUGGAUUAUGGGUGGUUUUUUUAUUAGGAGUAGUUUUUUGGUUUUGGAUUGUAGAAGAGUAGAAGGGCUAGGACUAUAUGAGAUAAAUUAUAGCAUAAAACAUUAAGUAAAUUAUAUGAGACAAUUUGGAGGAAAUGAAAAGGAGGACUAAAAAGGAAAUUUGAUUUCCUUAAACCAUGCCAUGUUAACACAUGGCAAGAGUUUGGCCGUGUGAUGUUGACACAUUGCAAAAAUUUGGUCAAAUGAAAUUAGAGAAUGGAGAGGGACUUGUACCCGUCCA
rnacentral:misc_RNA from 1 species